rnacentral:rRNA from 1 species
GUGAGUAACACGUGGGCAACCUGCCUGUAAGACUGGGAUAACUUCGGGAAACCGGAGCUAAUACCGGAUAAUCCUUUUCCUCUCAUGAGGAAAAGCUGAAAGACGGUUUCGGCUGUCACUUACAGAUGGGCCCGCGGCGCAUUAGCUAGUUGGUGAGGUAACGGCUCACCAAGGCGACGAUGCGUAGCCGACCUGAGAGGGUGAUCGGCCACACUGGGACUGAGACACGGCCCAGACUCCUACGGGAGGCAGCAGUAGGGAAUCUUCCGCAAUGGACGAAAGUCUGACGGAGCAACGCCGCGUGAGCGAUGAAGGCCUUCGGGUCGUAAAGCUCUGUUGUCAGGGAAGAACAAGUAUCGGAGUAACUGCCGGUACCUUGACGGUACCUGACCAGAAAGCCACGGCUAACUACGUGCCAGCAGCCGCGGUAAUACGUAGGUGGCAAGCGUUGUCCGGAAUUAUUGGGCGUAAAGCGCGCGCAGGCGGUUCCUUAAGUCUGAUGUGAAAGCCCCCGGCUCAACCGGGGAGGGUCAUUGGAAACUGGGGAACUUGAGUGCAGAAGAGGAGAGCGGAAUUCCACGUGUAGCGGUGAAAUGCGUAGAGAUGUGGAGGAACACCAGUGGCGAAGGCGGCUCUCUGGUCUGUAACUGACGCUGAGGCGCGAAAGCGUGGGGAGCGAACAGGAUUAGAUACCCUGGUAGUCCACGCCGUAAACGAUGAGUGCUAAGUGUUAGAGGGUUUCCGCCCUUUAGUGCUGCAGCAAACGCAUUAAGCACUCCGCCUGGGGAGUACGGCCGCAAGGCUGAAACUCAAAGGAAUUGACGGGGGCCCGCACAAGCGGUGGAGCAUGUGGUUUAAUUCGAAGCAACGCGAAGAACCUUACCAGGUCUUGACAUCCUCUGACAACCCUAGAGAUAGGGCGUUCCCCUUCGGGGGACAGAGUGACAGGUGGUGCAUGGUUGUCGUCAGCUCGUGUCGUGAGAUGUUGGGUUAAGUCCCGCAACGAGCGCAACCCUUGAUCUUAGUUGCCAGCAUUAAGUUGGGCACUCUAAGGUGACUGCCGGUGACAAACCGGAGGAAGGUGGGGAUGACGUCAAAUCAUCAUGCCCCUUAUGACCUGGGCUACACACGUGCUACAAUGGAUGGAACAAAGGGCAGCGAAGCCGCGAGGUGAAGCCAAUCCCAUAAAACCAUUCUCAGUUCGGAUUGCAGGCUGCAACUCGCCUGCAUGAAGCCGGAAUCGCUAGUAAUCGCGGAUCAGCAUGCCGCGGUGAAUACGUUCCCGGGCCUUGUACACACCGCCCGUCACACCACGAGAGUUUGUAACACCCGAAGUCGGUGGGGUA